rnacentral:rRNA from 1 species
GGUUAAGCGACUAAGCGUACACGGUGGAUGCCCUGGCAGUCAGAGGCGAUGAAGGACGUGCUAAUCUGCGAUAAGCGUCGGUAAGGUGAUAUGAACCGUUAUAACCGGCGAUUUCCGAAUGGGGAAACCCAGUGUGUUUCGACACACUAUCAUUAACUGAAUCCAUAGGUUAAUGAGGCGAACCGGGGGAACUGAAACAUCUAAGUACCCCGAGGAAAAGAAAUCAACCGAGAUUCCCCCAGUAGCGGCGAGCGAACGGGGAGCAGCCCAGAGCCUGAAUCAGUAUGUGUGUUAGUGGAAGCGUCUGGAAAGGCGCGCGAUACAGGGUGACAGCCCCGUACACAAAAAUGCACAUAUUGUGAGCUCGAUGAGUAGGGCGGGACACGUGGUAUCCUGUCUGAAUAUGGGGGGACCAUCCUCCAAGGCUAAAUACUCCUGACUGACCGAUAGUGAACCAGUACCGUGAGGGAAAGGCGAAAAGAACCCCGGCGAGGGGAGUGAAAAAGAACCUGAAACCGUGUACGUACAAGCAGUGGGAGCACGCUUAGGCGUGUGACUGCGUACCUUUUGUAUAAUGGGUCAGCGACUUAUAUUCUGUAGCAAGGUUAACCGAAUAGGGGAGCCGAAGGGAAACCGAGUCUUAACUGGGCGUUAAGUUGCAGGGUAUAGACCCGAAACCCGGUGAUCUAGCCAUGGGCAGGUUGAAGGUUGGGUAACACUAACUGGAGGACCGAACCGACUAAUGUUGAAAAAUUAGCGGAUGACUUGUGGCUGGGGGUGAAAGGCCAAUCAAACCGGGAGAUAGCUGGUUCUCCCCGAAAGCUAUUUAGGUAGCGCCUCGUGAAUUCAUCUCCGGGGGUAGAGCACUGUUUCGGCAAGGGGGUCAUCCCGACUUACCAACCCGAUGCAAACUGCGAAUACCGGAGAAUGUUAUCACGGGAGACACACGGCGGGUGCUAACGUCCGUCGUGAAGAGGGAAACAACCCAGACCGCCAGCUAAGGUCCCAAAGUCAUGGUUAAGUGGGAAACGAUGUGGGAAGGCCCAGACAGCCAGGAUGUUGGCUUAGAAGCAGCCAUCAUUUAAAGAAAGCGUAAUAGCUCACUGGUCGAGUCGGCCUGCGCGGAAGAUGUAACGGGGCUAAACCAUGCACCGAAGCUGCGGCAGCGACGCUUAUGCGUUGUUGGGUAGGGGAGCGUUCUGUAAGCCUGUGAAGGUGUGCUGUGAGGCAUGCUGGAGGUAUCAGAAGUGCGAAUGCUGACAUAAGUAACGAUAAAGCGGGUGAAAAGCCCGCUCGCCGGAAGACCAAGGGUUCCUGUCCAACGUUAAUCGGGGCAGGGUGAGUCGACCCCUAAGGCGAGGCCGAAAGGCGUAGUCGAUGGGAAACAGGUUAAUAUUCCUGUACUUGGUGUUACUGCGAAGGGGGGACGGAGAAGGCUAUGUUGGCCGGGCGACGGUUGUCCCGGUUUAAGCGUGUAGGCUGGUUUUCCAGGCAAAUCCGGAAAAUCAAGGCUGAGGCGUGAUGACGAGGCACUACGGUGCUGAAGCAACAAAUGCCCUGCUUCCAGGAAAAGCCUCUAAGCAUCAGGUAACAUCAAAUCGUACCCCAAACCGACACAGGUGGUCAGGUAGAGAAUACCAAGGCGCUUGAGAGAACUCGGGUGAAGGAACUAGGCAAAAUGGUGCCGUAACUUCGGGAGAAGGCACGCUGAUAUGUAGGUGAAGUCCCUCGCGGAUGGAGCUGAAAUCAGUCGAAGAUACCAGCUGGCUGCAACUGUUUAUUAAAAACACAGCACUGUGCAAACACGAAAGUGGACGUAUACGGUGUGACGCCUGCCCGGUGCCGGAAGGUUAAUUGAUGGGGUUAGCGCAAGCGAAGCUCUUGAUCGAAGCCCCGGUAAACGGCGGCCGUAACUAUAACGGUCCUAAGGUAGCGAAAUUCCUUGUCGGGUAAGUUCCGACCUGCACGAAUGGCGUAAUGAUGGCCAGGCUGUCUCCACCCGAGACUCAGUGAAAUUGAACUCGCUGUGAAGAUGCAGUGUACCCGCGGCAAGACGGAAAGACCCCGUGAACCUUUACUAUAGCUUGACACUGAACAUUGAGCCUUGAUGUGUAGGAUAGGUGGGAGGCUUAGAAGUGUGGACGCCAGUCUGCAUGGAGCCGACCUUGAAAUACCACCCUUUAAUGUUUGAUGUUCUAACGUUGACCCGUAAUCCGGGUUGCGGACAGUGUCUGGUGGGUAGUUUGACUGGGGCGGUCUCCUCCUAAAGAGUAACGGAGGAGCACGAAGGUUGGCUAAUCCUGGUCGGACAUCAGGAGGUUAGUGCAAUGGCAUAAGCCAGCUUGACUGCGAGCGUGACGGCGCGAGCAGGUGCGAAAGCAGGUCAUAGUGAUCCGGUGGUUCUGAAUGGAAGGGCCAUCGCUCAACGGAUAAAAGGUACUCCGGGGAUAACAGGCUGAUACCGCCCAAGAGUUCAUAUCGACGGCGGUGUUUGGCACCUCGAUGUCGGCUCAUCACAUCCUGGGGCUGAAGUAGGUCCCAAGGGUAUGGCUGUUCGCCAUUUAAAGUGGUACGCGAGCUGGGUUUAGAACGUCGUGAGACAGUUCGGUCCCUAUCUGCCGUGGGCGCUGGAGAACUGAGGGGGGCUGCUCCUAGUACGAGAGGACCGGAGUGGACGCAUCACUGGUGUUCGGGUUGUCAUGCCAAUGGCACUGCCCGGUAGCUAAAUGCGGAAGAGAUAAGUGCUGAAAGCAUCUAAGCACGAAACUUGCCCCGAGAUGAGUUCUCCCUGAC